AGCGAACGCUGGCGGCAGGCUUAACACAUGCAAGUCGAACGGGCAUCUUCGGAUGUCAGUGGCAGACGGGUGAGUAACACGUGGGAACGUACCCUUCGGUUCGGAAUAACUCAGGGAAACUUGAGCUAAUACCGGAUACGCCCUUUUGGGGAAAGGUUUACUGCCGAAGGAUCGGCCCGCGUCUGAUUAGCUUGUUGGUGGGGUAACGGCCUACCAAGGCGACGAUCAGUAGCUGGUCUGAGAGGAUGAUCAGCCACACUGGGACUGAGACACGGCCCAGACUUCUACGGGAGGCAGCAGUGGGGAAUAUUGGACAAUGGGCGCAAGCCUGAUCCAGCCAUGCCGCGUGAGUGAUGAAGGCCUUAGGGUUGUAAAGCUCUUUUGUCCGGGACGAUAAUGACGGUACCGGAAGAAUAAGCCCCGGCUAACUUCGUG
rnacentral:rRNA from 1 species